UGCGUAGGCGGUGCUGUAAGUCAGGUGUGAAAUCCCACGGCUCAACCGUGGAACUGCGCUUGAUACUGCAGUGCUUGAGGGAGACAGAGGUGAGCGGAACUGAUGGUGGAGCGGUGAAAUGCGUUGAUAUCAUCAGGAACACCAGUGGCGAAAGCGGCUCACUGGGUCUCUUCUGACGCUGAGGCACGAAAGCUAGGGUAGCGAACG
rnacentral:rRNA from 1 species